GCCCCCGUAGCUCAGAGGAUAGAGCAGCGGUUUCCUAAACCGUUGGUCACACGUUCGACUCGUGUCGGGGGCG
rnacentral:tRNA from 1 species